GGGCGGCUAGCUCAGUUGGUUAGAGCACUAGCUCGACACGCUAGGGGUCGAGGGUUCAAAUCCCCCGCCGCCCA
rnacentral:tRNA from 1 species